ACAGACAGACAGACAGACAGACAGACAGAGAGACAGACAGACAGACAGACAGAUAGACAUCAGACAGACAGACAGUCAGACAGACAGACAGACAGACAGACAUCAGACAGAGAGACAGAGAGACAGACAGACAGACAUCAGACAGACAGACAGACAGACAGACAAACAGACAACAGUCAGUCAGACAGACAGACGUCAGACAGACAGACAGACAGACAGACAGACAGACAUCAGACAGACAUCAGACAGAAAGACAGACAGACAGACAGACAGACAGACAUCAGACAUCAGACAGUCAGACAGACAGACAGACAGACAGACAGACAUCAGACAGACAGACAGACAGACAGACAGACAGACAAACAACAGACAGACAGACAGACAGACAUCAGACAGAGAGAGAGACAGACAGACAGACAGACAGACAGACAGCCGAAAGAGAGACAGAGAGACAGAGAGACAGAGAGACAGACAGCAGUCAGGCAGACAGACAGACAGACAGACAACAGACAGAGAGACAGAGAGACAGAGAGACAGAGAGACAGACAGCAGUCAGGCAGACAGACAGACAGACAGACAACAGACAGACAGACAGACAGAAAGACAGACAGACAGACAGACAACAGACAGAGAGGCAGAGAGACAGACAGACAGACAGACAGACAGACAGCCGAAAGAGAGACAGAGAGACAGAGAGACAGAGAGACGGACAUCAGUCAGUCAGACAGACAGACAGACAGACAGCAGACAGAGAGACAGAGAGACAGAGAGACAGAGAGACAGAGAGACGGACAUCAGUCAGUCAGACAGACAGACAGACAGACAGCAGACAGAGAGACAGAGAGACAGACAGACAGACAGACAGACAUCAGACAUCAGACAGACAGACAGACAGACAGAAAGACAGACAUCAGACAGACAGACAGACAGACAUCAGACAGACAUCAUACAGAAAGACAGACAGACAGACAGACAGACAGACAUCAGUCAGACAGACAGACAGACAUCAGACAGAGAGACAGAGAGACAGAGAGACAGAGAGACAGACAUCAGUCAGUGACAGACAUCAGACAGACAGACAGACAGACAGACAGACAGACAGACAUCAGACAGACAGACAGACAGACAGACAGACAGACAGACAUCAGACAGACAGACAGACAGACAGACAGACAGACAGACAUCAGACAGACAGACAGACAGACAGACAGACAGACAGACAUCAGACAGACAGACAGACAGACAGACAGACAGACAGACAUCAGACAGACAGACAGACAGACAGACAGACAGACAGACAGACAGACUCGCCCAGUUCCCUCUGAUGCCAGACGUCUGUUCCUGGUGGGGAUUGUGGCUGUCUGUUUAUCCUUUGGUCUGGAGGCGCUCAAGGAGACGGCAUAUUACAACCAUCAGACAAAAAAGUCUUGUAUAAUUAGGUCACAUUAUGCCAUCAUAUGCAAGUAA
ensembl:lncRNA